AUGUAACCAUAUCAUAGAUGCAUCAUAUGUGGUAUACAUGGCAGGUGAAUGGGCCCAUAUUCACCUUUGAUAUUUCCAGAAUUUAUGGGAUUCAACCCGGACUCUUUAGUUGGUCAAUUAAUUAAUGAGAACAAGUAAUACAAGAGAAUUCAUAAAGAACUUUUUAGUUCUUUAAUAUUUACCCAUGUGAAUUCUCUAUUA
rnacentral:lncRNA from 1 species